AGUCAUAUGCUUGUCUCAAAGAUUAAGCCAUGCAUGUCUAAGUGCACGCCUUAACAUGGUAAAACCGCGAAUGGCUCAUUAAAUCAGCUAUGGUUCCUUGGUUCAUAUUGCCUACUACAUGGAUAACUGUAGUAAUUCUAGAGCUAAUACGUGCCUAGAUGCCCUGAAUCGUGAGAUGAGGGGCGCAUUUAUUAGAUUGCAAACCAAACACGUUUGUCUAUACGGCCAUGCGUGUGGUUUGUGAUGACUCUGGAUAACUUUGUAUGAUCGCAGUCGGCCUUGUUGUCGGCGACGGAACCAUCAAAUGUCUGCCCUAUCAACUGUCGAUGGUAGGUGAUAUGCCUACCAUGGUUAUGACGGGUAACGGGGAAUCAGGGUUCGAUUCCGGAGAGGGAGCCUGAGAAACGGCUACCACAUCCAAGGAAGGCAGCAGGCGCGCAAAUUACCCACUCUCAGAAUGAGGAGGUAGUAAAGACAAAUAUCGAUACAGAUCUCCAAAAGAGGCUCUGUAAUCGAGAUGAGUGCAUUAUAAAUCCUACAACGAGGAUCUAUUGGAGGGCAAGUCUGGUGCCAGCAGCCGCGGUAACUCCAGCUCCAAUAGCGUAUAUUAAAGUUGCUGCAGUUAAAAAGCUCGUAGUUGGAUCUGGACUGUGGUGUGAAUGCUUGAUGUGUAGUGUGCGCAUGGUGGGCCGUUGAAAAUGAUGGUUUCAUUGUGUGUGUGUUUCCUCGGGUAAAUUUGCACCUAGUCUCCUAGCUGUGUCUGUGUGGUUAUUUGUUGCAUAUUCCAAAAGAGUUGCACGUAUGGCCAUGUGGAUGAUGUCUAGUUGAAAUCGUGCUGGUUCCUCUUCAGGGGAUCAGUGCGACUCGAUGUUAUGCUUUGUUUAUGCUCUUGAUUGAGUGUGCGAAGCGGACAGCACGUUUACUUUGAACAAAUUUGAGUGCUCAAAGCAGGCUUAAUUUUGCCUGGAAAGUCUUGCAUGGAAUAAUGGAAUAGGACUUCGGCCCUAUUUUGUUGGUUUGAUAGACCCGAAGUAAUGAUAAAGAGAGACAGACGGGGGCAUUUGUAUGGCGGCGCUAGAGGUGAAAUUUCUUGGACCGUCGCCAGACAAACUAAAGCGAAAGCAUCUGCCAAGUAUGUUUUCAUUUACCAGGAGCGAAAGUCAGAGGUUCGAAGACGAUCAGAUACCGUCCUAGUUCUGACCAUAAACGAUGCCAACUGAUGAUCCGUGGAGUCUCCAUAAUGUGAACCCACGGGCAAUCUCCGGGAAACCUGUAAGUCUAUGGGUUCCGGGGAAAGUAUGGUUGCAAAGCUGAAAACUUAAAGGAAUUGACGGAAGGGCACCACCAGGAGUGGAGCUUGCGGCUUAAUUUGACUCAACACGGGAAAACUCACCCGGCCCGGACACUGUGAGGAUUGACAGAUUUAUAGCUCUUUCAUGAUUCAGUGGUUAGUGGUGCAUGGCCGUUCUUAGUUCGUGGUAUAAGUUGUCUGGUUAAUUCCGUUAACGAACGAGACUUCAAUCUGCUAAAUAGUACGCAUGUAAUUUUGUGCGGUGAUUGUGCGAGUGGACUUCGUGUUCGCUUGUCACAGUCCCGCAUAAGCGUGUGAGACUUCUUAGAGGGACAGGUGGAUAUACAAACCACAUGAAAGGAAGCAAUAACAGGUCUGUGAUGCCCUUAGAUGUCCGGGGCCGCACGCGUGCUACAAUGACGGUGUUAGAGAGUUUGAAUUCCUCACUCGAAAGAAUGGGGCAAACUUUUCAAUCACUGCCAUGACUGGGAUCGGGGUUUGUAAUUAUCCCCCGUGAACGAGGAAUUCCUAGUAAGUACAAGUCAUAAGCUUGUGCUGAUUACGUCCCUGCCCUUUGUACACACCGCCCGUCGCUACUACCGAUUGAAUGGUUUAGCAAGGUCAUUGGAUUGACGCUCACGCGGUGUCAAACUGCCGAGUGUUGAGAAGACGACCGAACUUGAUCAUUUAGAGGAAGUACAAGUCGUAACAAGUUUCC
rnacentral:rRNA from 1 species